AAGCAGACUUCUAAGUCACCAGCACCAGCUGGUAGGAACCGAACAUGACCAGAACCCCAGAAGCACCUGCCGUACCUCCUUUGGCCCCUCUCCCUCACUGAAGGGUAGUCACCGUUCUGACGUCUUGCACACAGAACGUCUCUAAGCAUCAUUACCUGAACAACCCGUCUGAAGUUUUCCCGCUUCAGCCCAAUGUGGGUUCCUCUGAGGAGCAAGCAGCAGCCUGCUACCCCUGCCCGGCCACACCUGGCAACUGCUGUGGAAAGAGAAGGGCCACACCAUCAACUGCGGUCAGUGUUGGUGCCCCCACCCAAGCCAAGAACUCCUGUCUCACUUGC